GAUAUGAUGCGUUGGUCCUGGGCUUCGGCUCUUGUGGCUUUUCGCGUCUAUCAUCCUUCGCCUUAGAUUUGUGGACCCGUCAAACGGUUUGCUGCUAUUGCGAUCAUUUACUUUGAAAAAAUUAGAGUGUUUAAAGCAGGCAUGCGCCUUGAAUACAUUAGCAUGGAAUAAUAAUAUAGGACUACUUGCCUAUUUUGUUGGUUUUCUGGUGUUUAGUA
rnacentral:rRNA from 1 species